rnacentral:misc_RNA from 1 species
AAGUCGUAACAAGGUUUCCGUAGGUGAACCUGCGGAAGGAUCAUUAACGUGUUCGUUCGGCCGUUCGGGUCGGCCCUGCACCGACGGAGACGUCGUGCUGCGGGCUCCCGGACGCGCCUUCCAAACCAAACCCCUGUGAACCUUUGGGAGGGUCGAGCCUUUGCCGGCGACGCCUUCCCCUUUACAAACUCUUGUAUCUCAUAGAAUGACCGCGGACAUCGUCUGCCUAAACACAUAACAACUUUCAACAACGGAUCUCUUGGCUCUC